rnacentral:rRNA from 1 species
GAGUAAUGUCUGGGAAACUGCCUGAUGGAGGGGGAUAACUACUGGAAACGGUAGCUAAUACCGCAUAACGUCGCAAGACCAAAGAGGGGGACCUUCGGGCCUCUUGCCAUCGGAUGUGCCCAGAUGGGAUUAGCUUGUUGGUGGGGUAACGGCUCACCAAGGCGACGAUCCCUAGCUGGUCUGAGAGGAUGACCAGCCACACUGGAACUGAGACACGGUCCAGACUCCUACGGGAGGCAGCAGUGGGGAAUAUUGCACAAUGGGCGCAAGCCUGAUGCAGCCAUGCCGCGUGUAUGAAGAAGGCCUUCGGGUUGUAAAGUACUUUCAGCGGGGAGGAAGGGAGUAAAGUUAAUACCUUUGCUCAUUGACGUUACCCGCAGAAGAAGCACCGGCUAACUCCGUGCCAGCAGCCGCGGUAAUACGGAGGGUGCAAGCGUUAAUCGGAAUUACUGGGCGUAAAGCGCACGCAGGCGGUUUGUUAAGUCAGAUGUG